AACAACUACAUACGACCCCUGUUCCCGUAACCCCUGCCAAUAUGGCGGUACAUGUAUACGUACCAACAGUUACUAUUGGCCGUACACUGGCUACAGAUGUAACUGUCCUUACUACCGUACUGGGCAAAAGUGCGAGUACGGCGCCUACGGAUACCAAACAACAGAAAUCCCCAAUAUGACGACAGAAGUAUAUGUCAGAGUGCGUUUAGUUGGUGGAAACAGUUAUCGUGAAGGGCGAGUAAUGGUCUACUACGAUGGACGCUGGGGAACAAUAUGUGACCACGAUUUUGAUGAUAAUGAUGCUCGAGUUGUAUGCCGCAUGCUUGGACACGGUGACCGCUACGCCAAGGCUUAUGGCGGCGCCUGCUUUGGUGAAGGUAGCGGCAAGAUAUGGCUGAAUCAUCUGCACUGUCAAGGGACCGAAUCAUCCCUAGCUCAGUGCUAUAAGGGAUACGGCUGGGGUAACACCCACUGCUCACAUAGCGAGGACGUCGGAGUAUCUUGUGGCUUUUCAUACAGACGUUCCUGUACCAACUACAAUUACACUACGAGUUGGCCAACUACAGAAAGCACUACAA